rnacentral:rRNA from 1 species
CACAUGACUCUCGGCAACGGAUAUCUCAGCUCUCGCAUCGAUGAAGAACGUAGCGAAAUGCGAUACCUGGUGUGAAUCGCAGAAUCCCGCGAACCAUCGAGUCUUUGAACGCAAGUUGCGCCCGAGGCCACUCGGUCGAGGGCACGCCAGCCUGGGCGUCAUGC